AAAUUGAAGAGUUUGAUCAUGGCUCAGAUUGAACGCUGGCGGCAGGCCUAACACAUGCAAGUCGAACGGUAACAGGAAGCAGCUUGCUGCUUCGCUGACGAGUGGCGGACGGGUGAGUAAUGUCUGGGAAACUGCCUGAUGGAGGGGGAUAACUACUGGAAACGGUAGCUAAUACCGCAUAACGUCGCAAGACCAAAGAGGGGGA
rnacentral:rRNA from 2 species